AUUGAACGCUAGCGGGAUGCUUUACACAUGCAAGUCGAACGAGUGGCGGACGGGUGAGUAAUAUAUCGGAACGUGCCCAGUAGCGGGGGAUAACUACUCGAAAGAGUGGCUAAUACCGCAUACCAUUCGAGUGUCCCCUAUGGGAUUAGCUAGUUGGUGGGGUAAAGGCUCACCAAGGGCACGAUCCGUAGCUGGUUUGAGAGGACGACCAGCCACACUGGGACUGAGACACGGCCCAGACUCCUACGGGAGGCAGCAGUGGGGAAUAUUGCACAAUGGGGGAAACCCUGAUGCAGCCAUCCCGCGUGUAUGAGAAGGCCUUCGGGUUGUAAAGUACUUUUGGCAGAGAGGCGGUAUCUGCAGAAUAAGCACCGGCUAACUACGUGCCAGCAGCCGCGGUAAUUC
rnacentral:rRNA from 1 species